GUAUUUGUAGCCAAGCUGGUAAGGCACUCGAUUUAAUCGAGGUAUCGCAGAGUUUAAAUCUCGCCGAAUACA
rnacentral:tRNA from 1 species